CGGCGCGCCUAAUGCAUGCAAGUCGAACGGUACUUUGUUCUUCGGAACAAAGGAGAGUGGCAAACGGGUGAGUAAUGCGUAAGUAAUCUGCCCCUAAGUAGGGGAUAACUCUGAGAAAUCGGAGCUAAUACCUUAUGUGGUGAUGGGGGUAAGGCCUCAGCACUAAAGCCUUAGGGCGCUUGGGGAGGGGCUUGCGUCUGAUUAGCUAGUUGGUAGGGUAACGGUUUACCAAGGCGAUGAUCGGUAGCUGGUCUGAGAGGGUGGUCAGCCACACUGGGACUGAGACACGGCCCAGACUCCUACGGGAGGCAGCAGCAAGGAAUAUUGUGCAAUGGGCGAAAGCCUGACACAGCGACGCCGCGUGGGGGAUGAAGGCCUUCGGGUUGUAAACCCCUUUUCUCAGGGAAGAAUAAUGACGGUACCUGAGGAAUGAGCCUCGGCUAAUUACGUGCCAGCAGCCGCGGUAAUACGUAGGAGGCGAGCGUUAUCCGGAUUUACUGGGUGUAAAGAGGGCGUAGGCGGUUCAUCAAGUCGGAUGUAAAAUUUCCCGGCUUAACCGGGAGGGGUCAUUCGAUACUGUUGGGCUAGAGGGCAGCAGAGGGAGGUGGAAUUCCCGGUGUAGUGGUGAAAUGC
rnacentral:rRNA from 1 species